rnacentral:misc_RNA from 1 species
GAUGAAGAGCGUAGCGAAAUGCGAUAAGUAGUGUGAAUUGCAGAAUUCAGUGAAUCAUCGAAUCUUUGAACGCACAUUGCGCCCCUUGGUAUUCCAUGGGGCAUGCCUGUUCGAGCGUCAUUUGUACCUUCAAGCCUUGCUUGGUGUUGGGUGUUUGUCUCGCCUCUGCGCGCAGACUCGCCUCAAAACAAUUGGCAGCCGGCGUAUUGAUUUCGGAGCGCAGUACAUCUCGCGCUUUGCACUCACAACGGCGGCGUCCAAAAGUACAUUUUUACACUCUUGACCUCGGAUCAGGUAGGGAUACCCGCUGAACUUAAGCAUAUCAAUAAGCGGAGGA